rnacentral:rRNA from 1 species
CGAUUGAGUUUGAUCCUGGCUCAAGAUGAACGCUGGCGGCGUGCCUAACACAUGCAAGUCGAACGGGGUAUAUAAGCGGAAGUUUACGGAUGGAAGGUUAUAUACUUAGUGGCGGACGGGUGAGUAACGCGUGGGCAACCUGCCCCGUGCCGGGGGAUACCGCCUGGAAACAGGCGCUAAUACCGCAUAAGCGCAUACAGCCGCAUGGGUGUAUGCGGAAAGCUCCGGCGGCACGGGAUGGGCCCGCGCCCGAUUAGCCAGUUGGCGGGGUAACGGCCCACCAAAGCGACGAUCGGUAGCCGGCCUGAGAGGGCGGACGGCCACAUUGGGACUGAGACACGGCCCAAACUCCUACGGGAGGCAGCAGUGGGGAAUAUUGCACAAUGGGGGAAACCCUGAUGCAGCAACGCCGCGUGGGUGAAGGAGCGUUUCGGCGCGUAAAGCCCUGUCAGCGGGGAAGAAGAAAGACGGUACCCGACCAAGAAGCCCCGGCUAACUACGUGCCAGCAGCCGCGGUAAUACGUAGGGGGCGAGCGUUAUCCGGAAUUACUGGGUGUAAAGGGAGCGUANACGGCGAGGUAAGCCUGAAGUGGAAGCCCGCGGCCCAACCGCGGAACUGCUUUGGGAACUGUUUUGCUGGAGUAUGGGAGGGGUAAGCGGAAUUCCUGGUGUAGCGGUGAAAUGCGUANAUAUCAGGAGGAACACCGGGUGGCGAAGGCGGCUUACUGGACCAUAACUGACGUUGAGGCU